rnacentral:tRNA from 1 species
GGGCCGAGCUGGAUUUGAACCAGCGUAGACAUAUCGUCAACGAAUUUACAGUCCGUCCCCAUUAACCGCUCGGGCAUGACCAGG